AGCGAACGCUGGCGGCAGGCUUAACACAUGCAAGUCGAGCGGGCACUUCGGUGUCAGCGGCAGACGGGUGAGUAACACGUGGGAACGUACCCUUCGGUUCGGAAUAACGCUGGGAAACUAGCGCUAAUACCGGAUACGCCCUUCUGGGGAAAGGGUUUACUGCCGAAGGAUCGGCCCGCGUCUGAUUAGCUAGUUGGUGGGGUAAGUGGCCUACCAAGGCGACGAUCAGUAGCUGGUCUGAGAGGAUGAUCAGCCACACUGGGACUGAGACACGGCCCAGACUCCUACGGGAGGCAGCAGUGGGGAAGUAUUGGACAAUGGGCGCAAGCCUGAUCCAGCCAUGCCGCGUGAGUGAUGAAGGCCUUAGGGUUGUAAAGCUCUUUUGUCCGGGACGAUAAUGACGGU
rnacentral:rRNA from 1 species